UACGUAGGGGGCAAGCGUUGUCCGGAUUUAUUGGGCGUAAAGAGCGUGUAGGCGGCCAGGUAGGUCCGUUGUGAAAACUCGAGGCUCAACCUCGAGACGUCGGCGGAAACCCUCUGGCUAGAGUCCGGAAGAGGAGAGUGGAAUUCCCGGUGUAGCGGUGAAAUGCGUAGAUAUCUGGAGGAACACCGGUGGCGAAGGCGGCAUCCUGGACCAUGACUGACGCUGAGGAGCGAAAGCCAGGGGAGCAAACGGG
rnacentral:rRNA from 1 species